UUUUUUUUUCUACAACUGACUCACUUUUUCCUAUCCUGGCUCUUCUAGAAGGGUUACUAGGAAUCCCUAAAUAACUUGGGCCAAGCCCAAAACCAUAAGUGAAAAAGAAUGCAAGGCACCAGCCCUAGAACCACUCCUAACUUUACUAUGUUUAAUUAGUUUAUCACUUAGAAGACUAAAGGCAUGUCCACAGACUUUGUGCCUCUACCUUUCCUUCCAGACUGACACAUUUUUAUCCUUUCAGAAUAGGGCAUUAUGAAUCCAUGUCAUACCUUACUUCAUUCAUUAUUUCUAUGCCUGAUGUUCUUUUAAUGUCCUGCUCAUUUCUGAGUGAAGCAGGAGCUUUUGAACUGUGUCAUCAGCUCACCAGAACAAGAUGUGGGACAAAGGUAUCAUAGGAAGGGCAAAGUUUCUGCACUGCUUCUGUGCGAGUCAGGACUCACAGGCUGGGUCUCAGUCUGAUAUUUUUGUCCUCCUUGCCUAAGUCAGCUUGGGCCACAUCCCAGUUUUCCUGUCAGUCCAAGGGUCCCCUGUAUCACUGUCUCUGCUGUUUGUGUCAUCAGGAGGGAUUAAUUGCGUUGACUAAAAAGCAAAUGAGGAGUUAGGGGACACAAAAUGUGCUUCCUUCACUGCAGGCAGCAACUCUAAUUGCUCUUGGCACCAAUGGGAAACACUUUUCUCCACCCAUCGCAGGAAACACACACCUUCUUCCUCUGCAGCACUAGAGCAUCCGUGGCCUUGCUUUGUGUUUCCUCCUCUGUAGUACAGGCUGUGGGUGGGUGUUUGUGCCUCUCUUCCUAGGAGAAGGAGGGAGAGACCUUUUGGAAAGGCCUGCAGCAGCAUUGUAGAGCAACUACAUGGUGGUGGAAAAGCACAGUAUUCCAGAUGCAGCCUGAGUGCCAAAUAGAGGAUGGUAAUUGCUUCCCCCCUCUCCUGGCUGUGCUCCUGCUGACACAGCUCAGGGUGCUGUUGGCCUUCAAGGCUUGAGGUUACCCCCAAGUUGACCCCCAAGGCCCCAUUCCUUUAUCUGCAGAGCUGUACCCUGCAUGGAGUUAGUCUGUCUCAGACACUGGUCGUCCCGGUUGAAUUUCAUGAGGUUCUUGUCAUACCAUUCCUCCAGUCUGAGUCCCUCUGAGUGGCAGCUCUACUCUUGACCAUACUGGCUCUCCCACUAAUUUACUGUCAUCCACAAACCUGCUCAAAGGGCACUCUGUCACAUCCUCUAGGCAUUCCUACAGACAUUAAACAGGUCAGGUCCCAGGAUAGAUCCCUACAGUACUUGACUUCUUACUAGCCUCCAAAUAGAGUACAGCCUCUGUGUCCUAGCAUCCAGUUUUUACCCAUGUGGUUGUCCACCCAUAUAGCCCACAAUGUGUAAAUUUGGAUACAAGACAGUAGACAGUGUCAAAAGCAUUGCAAAAGUCAAGGUACAUAAUAUGCUCUGUUCUUCCUCAUCUACAAAUCCAGUCAUUUUACUAUAGAAGGUUAUCAGGUUGGUGAGGCACACUGGCUGUUCCAAAUCACCUCCUCCUUCUUGUAUUCAGAAAAGUGUUCCAAGAGGACAUGGAUUUCCACAUGGACUGCAGUGAGGCUGAUCAGCUAGCAGUCUGCCUUUGGGCUUUUUUUCAAGAGUCAUUGGAGAACAUUCCAAUGGUUGUGGAGACUCCAGUCUCCACUGUCCUUCAAAGAUAAAAAUGCAGUCUUGCAAUGAAACCAGACAGCUCCCUCAACAGCUUGGAUACAGCUCUGUUGAUCCCAUGAAUGUUUAUGGGUCAAAUUCUCCCACAUAAUCCCUGAGUUGACCCUCACCCAUUCCUGGCAGUUCUUGUCCAUAAAUUGUAAGCACAGAGAUCUUGGAGACCUUGCUGAUACGCCUGAGGCAACAGUGGCUCUAGGUGCCACAAUCUCAUCUGUUUCCAUUGCCAGAUCAUUUGUCCCAUUCAGGAACAAGACCACGUUUCCCAUUUUCAGUCUUUGACUCUUGGAGUAGUGGCAGAAACUCUUCUUGUCGCCCUUGGGAUCAUUUGCAAAUCUUAAAUACAGCUUUGACCUCAGAAAAUAUUUCCAGCAGUUUCUGCAUCAACCCAGAAACCUGAGUUACCUCCCUGAUAAUGGAAAUGUACAGAUCUGAAUGUCCUCCAUAAGCUGCAGCAUAAAUUGUACUUUUCUAUAUCUGUCCAAAGGCAGCUGCUUUGUUCUGCUUUGUCAGAGAAACUGUUAAUAAUUUAAUAAUGAAAGGGAACUAAUGAGGCCUAUGGAUUUGAGCCUCAUGCUCCGAUUAUCCAUUAUCUAAUGAAGUGUGAAUUUUGACUGAAGCUUUUUCCACCCUGAGGGGAAAAAGCCACUCUCAUCCAUGCAGAUUCUCCUGUGACUAAUGAAGGGUGAGCUCACACUGCAGAUUUUGCUAUACAGGGAGUACAGGUAAGGUUACUGUUCGCUGCAUAGGCCUAGUUUCAUGACACUUAUGAAAACAUAUAAUUCUGGAAAUAUCUACCCCUUUAAUUCAGAUUUGGCCAGUGGGUUUGGGAAUUACUAGGGAGAAUGGACAUACUCGCAAAGGCUGGUCCAAUGUUAUUAUUUAAGCCUCAAGCAUUUUGAAACAUUCCAACAUUUUCUUGCACUACUUUGCAUUUCAAACAUGUCUCAUUGGAAAGGUGCAAAAUAAUUUACAUUAAAUAUUAGCCUAAUUUUUGAAACAGGUGAACCAUGAUGAUUCAUCUUUUUAAGUACAUAUCCCUUCUCAAAUCCCAUAGACUAACAAUUUCACACGUGUUUAUACACUCCAGACUUGACAGAUGGCUUAUACUUUCUAUAUCUUAUCAAAAACAAGGUUAUUUCUAAUGUCAGCCAGUACGUAUUCUGUAAAAAACAAUAUAAUCUACCAUUUUCUUCCUUUAGUAGAUUAUGCUUGGAUUUAGCAAGGAGGAAUGUUGUCUGGUCUGAUUUGAAUGCAUGUAUGCCAUGAGCAAUCCCUCAAACAGAUGCAUGAGGCUGUUGCUGUCACCUUCCCUAGACAAAUACAUUCAGGCUAAUGACUGACAGGUAAGGUGUGUUUUGCUGUGGCACAGCUAUCAUGUAUUAGCUGUCCUGUUUUAUAACUGACGUGGGGACUGAGGCACGGCACUUUUAUUGCAGGGUAAACCAGCGAGGCCAACCAAAAGCAGCAGCACAGGGCCAACCUCCCCCAGCAACCUCGCUGCAGCUUGAGUGAUUUUACAAGCAUGUAGCUAUCACAUUCAUUAUGUUUUCACUGUCAAAAAACCCUCACAAAAUCAAAAGAAGGCCCUGUGCCACUGAAGACAAGACUCAGUGUAAGUGACUGUAUAGGUGAUAAAUUCACAUAUCCUUGUCGGGGGAUGGUAUUGGUCUCACUCCAGAAGUAUGUGAUGUGAUCUAGUGUAAAUAGUGAUAAAGCUGCCUGAAAACAGGCAAUUCCAUCCCACUACAGACUGGCAGACUCCUUCCAGUCCCUGCUGUCUCCACUUAAGUGCAGCAUGUAUUCUUGACCUUCUUCUUGGUCUCACACAUACUCAUCUACAAAGACUCAUCCCAUUGAGUAAAAGAGCUGUUGUAUUGCAUAAGUGACCUAAGUAUAGUAUCUCAAAAUAGCUAUGUUGCAGGUGAGAAUUUUCUUUUUUUUUUUUUUCCUGUAAAUGUAUCCUUUCCCACCCAUAUAGCCCACAAUGUGUUCUCCCACAUAAGCAAGCAUACAGAAAAUUUGAGUACACCUGAGCACAAUGUCCUCUGUGGCAGUGCAAUAGAUGAUAAUGUGAUUCCCAGCUGAUACAAAAAAGUCCUUUAUGCCAAAAUAUUUUGCUAAGGAAGAAUUAGUGGCACUGAACUGAAUCAUGAUUUGGUCUUUGUGAGAUGUGCCUUCUUCAACAUGCCAAUGAAAAACAAAUGGAAAUACGUAAUUAUUAUUAACUAGAGACGGAAUCUAAAUUUAAGUUUUACAACACAAUAAGCAUGAGGCAUCAGCUGACCACAGCAGGCUCAGAAAUCCAAGUGGUCUGUAUCACACACCUGUGCAAAUUCAGACUUGAGAAAUCAGUGAUAAUCAGGCAGACACAGGUGAUGGGCUGGUUAUUGCAAUCUCCUACUUUAAAUCCAUCUUGUAAAUUCACCAAUCAGUUGUGUUUUAUUGGUGCCUGAAUGGCGUAAGAGUGGAGAAUCAAGCCUGAUUGGAGAGAAGAGAAUUUAGACCAUGGAGUGGUCCAAAUUAUGACCAAAUAAUGAAAUUCUCAUUCUUGUAGGAGACAGUGCCCAGACUAAACAUAUAGUGAAACCUUCAUGUAUUUUUUGCUUUAUUUCCCUUUUGAAACCUUAAAAAUACAGAAUCAUUAUGUCUUUUUUAUCACCCUAUUUCUGUUUAGUCAUUCCCUGAACUUUUGACUUAGUGUAUGCACAAAGAUUUGUAUUUUCUGACUUACUGUAUUCACAAAGACUGGUUUCAAGCUAAGAAAUUCCAGGUUAAUUCAAUAGCCUCUGCUGUAUAUAAGGUAUUAACAAAAGAAUGAUAUCUAAAUUUUGUAAAAGCAUGGGAAAAAAUGAAAAGCAUUUCUCAAAGAUUUUCUUAAAAUUAUGCUUAGCUAUAUAAUGAGGUUUUGUAUUCUCUCUCCAUAUAUCUUGAUUGGCCAUUUCUAUUUGAAAAACCAACCACCAGGGCACUUUUCAAAGUGACAUUUUCAAGUCUUUUAAUUCCAUGGCUAUUCAAAGAUUUUUCUUCUUUGAUCUUCAGAGGAAAUUCUUACAUUAUUUCUGAUGCUCUGAGCAACCGCUUUGCUCAUCCAUUCAGCCGGGUACGUGUGCAGGGAAACUCUGCUCUGCCAGGUGUAUGUGUGCCAGGCUCGUUCCUCGUCCUGUUUUCUCCUACUAGCUUCAGUGCCAUCCUUUCCUUGCACUCUCCGUGCUUCCAGAUGACCUCCACCAUCCAUGGCACUCCCACCCUUCCCAGCAGAGGGGAAUCCAAAAGCAGCGUGACUCGCUGCCCUCACACCAUCGCUACCCAGGCCAGCUGCCCAGAGCACAAGGGGCAGCAAGGCCUGUUCGGGGACGUGGUGGAGUCACCGCUCCUGGAGGUGUUUUAGGAAAAACCGGACGUGGCUCUCAGGGGCUAACACGGGCCGAACUCGAUGAUCUCAGAAGUCUAUUCUACUCUAAUUGAUGCUGUGAUCGCCGUACUAUCAUUUAUACUCUUUCUACCCAGGAAUCACAGGCGUGGCUCUUUCACGACUUUAAACAGCCCUGCAGCCCAGCGUACCCUCCAGAGGGACGGGGGCCGCCAACUCGCCGGUGGCGGACGCGCGGGCUUCUCCACCCUCUCCUCAGACCUCAGCACUUCGUCCUCCGUUCUUUUUCCCAUGCCUAAGGGGAAUUGCUCAGAACCCCCAUGAAACCCAGGGCGGACGGAACCGGGCGGUCCCGCUGCCCUCCGCUCCCCUCAGG
ensembl:lncRNA